GACGAACGCUGGCGGCGUGCUUAACACAUGCAAGUCGAACGGAAAGGCCCUGCUCUUGUGCUUUGCUCGAGUGUCGAACGCGUGAGUAUCACGCGAGUAACCUGCCCUUUACUUUGGGGUAACUUCAGGAAACUCGGGCUCAUAUCGGACAUGAGCUCCUGCUGCAUAGUGGGUUUUUUAAAGUUUCGGCGGUUGGGGAUGGACUCGCGGCUUAUCAGCUUGUUGGUGGGUUAGUGGCUUACCAAGGCUGUGACGGGUCGCAGGCCUGGGAGGGUGAACGGCCAAAUUGGGACUGGGAUGCGGCAGAGACGCAUACGGGAGGCAGCAGUGGAGAAUAUUGCAGAAAGGGCGGAAGCGUGAAGAAGCAUCGCCGAGUGCGGAAUGCCGUCCUUCGGGUUGUAAAACGCUUUCGCCUGUGACGAAGCGCGAGUAACGGUAAUGAGCAAAGAAGCACCGGCAAACUACGU
rnacentral:rRNA from 1 species